rnacentral:lncRNA from 1 species
AAUAGCAUAGCCAACUUCUGGCUGUCAACAUCAUAAGGCAAAUUACCCACAAAAAUCUUGGCAUCCUCAGGCGGCUCCACAAAGCCAUCCUCUGUGUCAGCCUGCUCAAAACCCCCUUCACCACUCUCUCCAUCACUGCCGACCGCCUCCACCACUGCAUCUUCUCCGCCAGACUCCCAAUCAGAAACUUGGGCUUCAGAAUCAUCACUUGGUUGGUUUUCCCAUGUCGAUUCCACUUGUUCUGAUUCUGUUAGAGUAAUUGUGGAGUCGCCUUCCUCUUCUUUCUGUGUCCAAUCUGAGGUCUGGGCUACGAAGCGAAUAAAGGAAGAGAAGUGGGUCUUGUGUUUGAGAGAGAGAGAUGAUAGGGAGUGAGAGGAGUAGGAGAGCUGGAGCCUAACGGGUCUGGCAGGGACUGAGACACAUUGGUAGGGAGGUUUUGAAGUAAAAAUGGAAGGGAGUGAGAAGAGGCAUGAGUCUGCCAUUGGUAGACGCUUGAAGGUAGGAGCUGGUGCUGUGGCAGACAUUUUUAGGGAGGAAGGGAGGGGUUUAGAGGAAGGCCAAGGAGGAUAAGGGGCAGAGAUAGAG